GACGAACGCUGGCGGCGUGCCUAAUACAUGUAAGUUGAGCGCUGAAGGUUGGUACUUGUACCGACUGGAUGAGCAGCGAACGGGUGAGUAACGCGUGGGGAAUCUGCCUUUGAGCGGGGGACAACAUUUGGAAACGAAUGCUAAUACCGCAUAAAAACUUUAAACACAAGUUUUAAGUUUGAAAGAUGCAAUUGCAUCACUCAAAGAUGAUCCCGCGUUGUAUUAGCUAGUUGGUGAGGUAAAGGCUCACCAAGGCGAUGAUACAUAGCCGACCUGAGAGGGUGAUCGGCCACAUUGGGACUGAGACACGGCCCAAACUCCUACGGGAGGCAGCAGUAGGGAAUCUUCGGCAAUGGACGAAAGUCUGACCGAGCAACGCCGCGUGAGUGAAGAAGGUUUUCGGAUCGUAAAACUCUGUUGGUAGAGAAGAACGUUGGUGAGAGUGGAAAGCUCAUCAAGUGACGGUAACUACCCAGAAAGGGACGGCUAACUACGU
rnacentral:rRNA from 1 species